rnacentral:lncRNA from 11 species
CAGCUGUAGAAACCAGAUUUAAGGUGCAGCAGUCUGCUAUUCCAAUGUUGCUAACAACAGAUUUAGGUUUGAGCCUCGAUAAUCUUAAGAGCAGUGGACCUUUUUUGGAGAUGGGACGUCUCGUUUACCAUUGAAGAAAGAACGGGAUGACUUUGGAGUGCACUAUCAAAGAGUUUUUGGAGGUUUCUUGAAGAGUGAGACAAGUUGUUCAACUGAAUCUGAAAUUAUACAUAAUGAUGUUAAUGUGGAAGAAUCCUCAAAAGCUUGUUUCUGAGUCCCUCGGCACUGGUGGUGGCCAGAUUUUACAAAAUCCAAUGAUCCCAGGGACAGAAAGUGAAAUGAAAUCUUCUGAACAGAAGCACAGACAGCAAAAC